AUCGCUUCUUGGCCUUUUGGCUAGGAUCAAGUGUAGUAUCUGUUCUUAUCAGUUUAAUAUCUGAUACCAAUACAUUAAUUAGAUCUUUGGAAGUAGGAGUUGGAAUAGGAGCUUGCUCCAUCUACUCCACACUUCGACCUAGUAUUGCAGUACCUCCAGAAAUGGUGAAUAUAAG
rnacentral:snRNA from 1 species